AUACGGAGGGUGCAAACGUUGUUCGGAAUCACUGGGCGUAAAGGGCGCGCAGGCGGUUUGAUUAGGCAGAUGUGAAAGCCCACGGCUUAACCGUGGAAGUGCAUUUGAAACUGUCAGACUUGAGUACCAGAGGGGGUAGUGGAAUUCCCGGUGUAGAGGUGAAAUUCGUAGAUAUCGGGAGGAAUACCGGUGGCGAAGGCGACUACCUGGCUGGAUACUGACGCUGAGGCGCGAAAGCGUGGGGAGCAAACAGGAUUAGAAACCCCAGUAGUCC
rnacentral:rRNA from 1 species